rnacentral:lncRNA from 1 species
AGAUUUUGUAUCAUCCUUGGAUGUUUUUGGUAUUAAAUCCUCACUAGCCAUUAUUAUUGUAUCGUCUGAUUAACGGCCAGUGCCAUUUUUACCUGCAGCAGAUGUCAUAUAAAAUCACACAGUAGUAAAUUAAUGAUUAUAUUUCGUUUCCUUUAUGGCGAUUCCUAGGAAGCUUUGUCAAGAUUCAUUAAUUACACACGUGGUCUUUGAACAAGCAGUGAAAACAAACAGGUAGAAAAUGAAGAUGUACAACGUCAAUCUUCCUUUUAGCAAACACACGUCAUAUGCUAUGUAGAAAAGGUGCCUAGGGAUACAUAAAAUGUCAGAGGAUACAUAUAUUAUAGAUUUCAACCAGUUUAUUUAAAUUUUUGUGUAAUCCGUGCAAUAUAUGUUUGUUCCACUAAACUUCCUCCGUUGCAUUCAGAAUUUGUUGACAUUUAUUGAAAUUUAUA